ACCUUACCAGUUAGAUCACAGAAACUGUUAACAUUAACUAAACAACGAUGCCUCAACAUAGCGAUUACUGAUGUAAGACGGGACGUUUUCUGCUUUAAGCGGUUUCUACAACAAAGAGAAGGGAUCAACGUAGUCUGUGCUGAUGAUUUUCUAGUUAUCCUCCCUUCCUACGCAGGAUUUGUUGCAUAUCACCAACGAAAGAUAAAGGAACGAUUUAGGAAAAAACUUAAGUGGCUAAUCGAACAACAAAUAAAAAUGAAACAGAGGAAUAGGUCCCCUGUUACACUUUAUAUGGUUAUGGAUGGAAUAACUUUACCUCCUUUCGUACAUGAGGUUUUAGCUAUGGGCCCGAACACUUUAGUCCAGAAUAUCCUCACCUGGCAAAAUAUGGCGAUACAGUUAGAACUGGCAUUAUCCGUUUGUCACCCUGU
rnacentral:lncRNA from 1 species